AAUCUUGAAGAAGGGCCUCAAUCAAAAGAUAGAAGGAGCUUUUAAAAAUUAGGAUAAAAAACUAAAUAUCUGUAAUGAUAUUUUUUUUAGUUCUUUGACUUUUGUAAUUAAAUCAAAAAUUUAUAAUUCAACAGAUGUUAUCCCUUCAAUAUACUCUUUAUUUUUUUCAGUUUGUGCAGUUUUUUAAAAAUAAAAUGAUGUUAUGUUCUGUGCCUAAAUGCCAUAAAUUUCUGAAUGGAUGUCAUAAUGUUAUACAGGAAUAUCAUAAUAUCAUAAAUUUUUGAAUAGAUGAUACGA
rnacentral:lncRNA from 1 species